CAGAUUUGCACAAUAACGUAACAACAAGAAAAUGAAAAACCCCAUUCAAUGGAGACAACAACAUAAACUAUUGAAGAAAGUGGUAUUGCUUCCACUGCCUUUGCCAGAGCAGCGACGGAGUAUUAAUAAUCCGGUCAUAUCUAGUCGUAUCUAGUUAAUACAUUAAAUCAAAGAUUAGAGAAAAAUAAAAGAGAAAGUGAGAGGGGGCGCCGCUAGUGUAUUUGGCUGAAGUCUGCCUGCCGAUGAUCAACUCUGGCGAGGUGCAACAAAAGAAGAGAGGGACAGGGGUUUCCAGUGGUGGUGGAAAAGAUCUGGUUUGGAUUUUCGCUUGUGGCAGCGGCUGGAUGGGCCUGGUUUGGGGGCCGCCUAGGUAGUUGUGACGAAAAGAUGGAGAAGGAGAAGGGCGUGUAGUGGUGGCCGGAUUCACCAGAGCUCCGACGAUAGUGAACCGAUCGAAGAAAGAGCUUGUAGAGAGAGGUGGGAUAUACUAUUUUUGUAAGAUGUGCGUG
rnacentral:lncRNA from 1 species